rnacentral:rRNA from 7 species
AAAUUGAAGAGUUUGAUCAUGGCUCAGAUUGAACGCUGGCGGCAGGCCUAACACAUGCAAGUCGAACGGUAACAGGAAGCAGCUUGCUGCUUCGCUGACGAGUGGCGGACGGGUGAGUAAUGUCUGGGAAACUGCCUGAUGGAGGGGGAUAACUACUGGAAACGGUAGCU